rnacentral:rRNA from 1 species
AAUAGAUACCCAGGUAGUCCACGCCGUAAACGAUGAGUGCUAAGUGUUAGAGGGUUUCCGCCCUUUAGUGCUGCAGCUAACGCAUUAAGCACUCCGCCUGGGGAGUACGGCCGCAAGGCUGAAACUCAAAGGAAUUGACGGGGGGCCCACACAAGCGGUGGAGCAUGUGGUUUAAUUCGAAGCAACGCGAAGAACCUUACCAGGUCUUGACAUCCUCUGACCUCCCUGGAGACAGGGCCUUCCCCUUCGGGGGACAGAGUGACAGGUGGUGCAUGGUUGUCGUCAGCUCGUGUCGUGAGAUGUUGGGUUAAGUCCCGCAACGAGCGCAACCCUUGACCUUAGUUGCCAGCAUUGAGUUGGGCACUCUAAGGUGACUGCCGGUGACAAACCGGAGGAAGGUGGGGAUGACGUCAAAUCAUCAUGCCCCUUAUGACCUGGGCUACACACGUGCUACAAUGGAUGGUACAAAGGGCUGCGAGACCGCGAGGUUAAGCCAAUCCCGAGAAACCAUUCCCAGUUCGGAUUGCAGGCUGCAACCCG